rnacentral:rRNA from 1 species
AGUGAACGCUGGCGGUAGGCCUAACACAUGCAAGUCGAACGGCAGCACAGUAAGAGCUUGCUCUUACGGGUGGCGAGUGGCGGACGGGUGAGGAAUACAUCGGAAUCUACUUUUUCGUGGGGGAUAACGUAGGGAAACUUACGCUAAUACCGCAUACGACCUACGGGUGAAAGCAGGGGAUCUUCGGACCUUGCGCGAUUGAAUGAGCCGAUGUCGGAUUAGCUAGUUGGCGGGGUAAAGGCCCACCAAGGCGACGAUCCGUAGCUGGUCUGAGAGGAUGGUCAGCCACACUGGAACUGAGACACGGUCCAGACUCCUACGGGAGGCAGCAGUGGGGAAUAUUGGACAAUGGGCGCAAGCCUGAUCCAGCUAUACCGCGUGGGUGAAGAAGGCCUUCGGGUUGUAAAGCCCUUUUGUUGGGAAAGAAAAGCAGCAGGUUAAUACCCCGCUGUUCUGACGGUACCCAAAGAAUAAGCACCGGCUAACUUCGU